UACAGAGGUCUCAAGCGUUGUUCGGAUUCAUUGGGCGUAAAGGGUGCGUAGGCGGCGCGGUAAGUCGGGUGUGAAAUCUCGGGGCUUAACUCCGAAACUGCAUUCGAUACUGCCGUGCUUGAGGACUGGAGAGGAGACUGGAAUUUACGGUGUAGCGGUGAAAUGCGUAGAUAUGACAUAGAACACCAAUUGCGAAGGCAGCUCACUACGGGAUCAUUGACACUGCGGCACGAAAGCGUGGGGAUCAAACAGG
rnacentral:rRNA from 1 species